CCUACGGGGGGCUGCAGUGGGGAAUAUUGGACAAUGGGGGGAACCCUGAUCCAGCCAUGCCGCGUGUGUGAAGAAGGCCCUCGGGUUAUAAAGCACUUUCAGUGAGGAAGAACGCCUGGUGGUUAAUACCCAUCAGGAAAGACAUCACUCACAGAAGAAGCACCGGCUAACUCCGUGCCAGCAGCCGCGGUAAUACGGAGGGUGCGAGCGUUAAUCGGAAUUACUGGGCGUAAAGCGCGCGUAGGUGGCUUGAUAAGCCGGUUGUGAAAGCCCCGGGCUCAACCUGGGAACGGCAUCCGGAACUGUCAAGCUAGAGUGCAGGAGAGGAAGGUAGAAUUCCCGGUGUAGCGGUGAAAUGCGUAGAGAUCGGGAGGAAUACCAGUGGCGAAGGCGGCCUUCUGGACUGACACUGACACUGAGGUGCGAAAGCGUGGGUAGCAAACAGGAUUAGAUACCCUAGUAGUC
rnacentral:rRNA from 1 species